CGCGGGAUAGAGCAGUUUGGUAGCUCGUCGGGCUCAUAACCCGGAGGUCGUAGGUUCAAAUCCUACUCCCGCAACCA
rnacentral:tRNA from 3 species